rnacentral:lncRNA from 1 species
CCGGGUCCCGCCACCCCGGAGCCCAAAGCUGCCCGGCCGGUGGCCCAAACCCGCUUCCUCGGCCCCUGGCCUCUGGAGUGCAUUUCCUUGUGCUCCCGAUCUCUGGGCAGAGUGUUCCUAAAGGUUCAUAUCAUCGCAUUUUUUUUUUUUUUUUUAAGUAAUAGUGAGCCCGACAGCUUCUUACUUGGGUCGAUUUUCAAAAACCCUACCUUAUCGGAGCAUGGCACUUGUGUCCAGCAUCUUGAGGGCUCCAUGACAGAUAGGCUGUACUUUUAUUUCUGGCUUUGAGUGUGACUUACAAGUUAAGGUUACACAAUGACUAUCACUGCAAAGAGCUCUCACAGUGGCUUGGGUCCACCGCUUUUCAAAACCUGCUUGGGAAAAUGCUUUCCGGUGUCUAAAUGGCAUUGCCGUUUAAAAAAGUUAUUUUCCUGUUGUCUCAUGAAAUUAUUAUUAACUUAUAUAAAUGUGGGGGAAGUUAAACUUCUCUAGGGCUUGUAGAAAAAGGUGAUUGACAAAGAUUUAGUAAAUGAUUUGACACAGCACUGAAUACCUAUUUUGUGCUUCAUAUUAAUUAUAGUGGAUUAAAAAUAUUAACAUUUAUUGGAAAUUCUGUGUGCCAGGCACAGGGUCUGUUACUUGAAACGUAAGGGACAUUUUUGACCCUCUCCAAACCUCUGAGGGCUGCAGGAUAUUACAGUUAGUAGAAUGGGAAACUGAGGCACAAACAGGCUAAGUAGCUUGCUCAAGUUCACACAACCGCAAGAGUGAGACUUGGAUUUCAGCGCAGACAGACUGACUCUGGAGCCAUACUACUACUUUUUUACACUAUUAAAUUUCGUGAUUUUUAAGAAGUUUUAUUGAAGUAUAGUUGAUUUAUAAUGUGUUAAUUACUGCUGUAGAGCAAAGGGAUUCAGUUGUAUUAUAUCCAUUCUCUUUCAGAUUCUUUUCCAAUAAAGAUUAUCACAGAAUAUUGAUUAGAGAUCCCUGUGCUGUACAACAGAUCUUGAAAGAGAAAACUAAUAUAUUCAGAGCUACUGGAGAACCGUUGAAGACACACUGUGUGCUGCAGCCUUUAGAUAACCUGGAGGCUGAAAAAUUCCCUCUCCUCUCUGCUAAUCUCAUCCAAUUAAUAAACACUUGGGGACACCUGCCAUUUAUUAAUGGUCUGCUGUCCCUUUCCUUUCCAGAACACUCUCCCUUUUGAAGGCCAGGUUACCUUUGAAAAAAUGAGACUCGAUGCAUACAUAACUCUGGUUUAAAGCUUUGGGUGACACCCCAUUAACCUCCGCUGUAAUGGAAGGGAUUUUUGGCUGUCUGUCCUUCAAGGCUCUUUGCAUUAUCUCCCCGAUUCCCCUUUCCAGUUUUAUUGCUUUUGAAAUCUCCAAUAUCUCACCCUGCCCUCAAAACACCAUGCAAUUUUGUUUUCGUGGCUCUCUCCAUCUUUGCUCAGGCUGAUAAUCACUCUGGGUAAUAUUCCCUGUCGUCCUCUGGUGACUUCUAACCAAGCCACCUCUUUGAAGUUUUCUGGGUCUCUUACCCCACCUGGAAUGGACUUAAAUGUUCCCUCACUUCAUCCCUAACCUUCCCUCCCUGGCUCACAAACCACUGCUCCCGCGAAACUUGUCUCCCUCUUGUGUCGAGAAGGUCCCAUGCCAUUUUCAUCUCUGUUUAAAGGCAAAGGUAAGGGAAAUGGAAUAAGCCAUAUAACUGAGCCUCUUGGGAGGCUUUCUCAAGGCCUUGAGAUUGGAAGAAGGAAUAGGAUUUGCCGAUGUAGAGGGUAGACAUUUCAAGUGAGACGAAUUCUGAUGGUAGGCAUGAGAUGCAAGAAAGCCUCCCAAUUUAAUCAGAGGGCUGGGGAGCGGUGGCAGAUGAGGCUGGCGAAGUUGCGGCGUUGAGAGUGGGACACAGCCACCACGCCAUGUGCAUUUAGCAUAUGUUUGGUUUGGGGAGCAGAGGUUCUUUCUGUCCAUUUGACUUGCUUGCUUCAUUUUUCUCUUUUGGCAGAACUUUGGAGGGUUUAUUGAUUUUUUUUGUGAUCGUUUUGAAAACCAUAAGAUGAUAUUUAAGAAAUAAUACUUUGGGAGUUCCUGUUGUGGUUCAGCGGACACGAACCUGACUAGUAACCAUGAGGAUGUAGGUUCGAUCCCUGGCCUCACUGGGUGGCCGUGAGCUAUGGUCUGGGUCGAAGACAUGGCUUGGAUUCCGCAUUGCCGUGGCUGUGGCGUAGGCCAGCGGCUGUGGCUCUGAUUGGACCCCUAGCCUGGGAACUUCCAUGUGCUGCCCCUUCGAUCUUGCUUAGCAUGUAAGCUUGGCAUGACCUUUCAUUCUGUAAGCUUAGCAUGAUCUUUCAUUUUUCCUGGAUUUACCUUGUUCAUGUGAGUAAAACUUCCUUCAGAUUUUUACUCAUAUCUCCGAUCUUCCGUGCCUAUCUUCAUUCCAGUAGCAACUGCACCCACACACUCUUUAUCCCCCUCGCUUGCUUUAUUUUCUCCAUCGCGCUGAUUCCUGUGUAACCAUACAAUGGAUUUGACUAAUUCAUCUUGUUGCUUGUCAUCUGCGUCCCCAUUUACGGUGUCAGCUCCAUGAAGCACUCAAAUAUUUCUUGGGUGAGUGAAUGCACAUUAUAGUACAUUGUUUCAUAUUGUCGUUAGAGUAUCUUCUCUAUUGCAUAUUCUGUUUUCACUCCCUAUCACCAAAUAUAUUUCUGCACAGGUAUAAUAAUUACCCUCUUUCAUGGUUACAUAAGACUAUUUAGGGUGAAGGUGCAGUAAUGGCAUGACUCCUGCCUCUAUUGACAUUUUGCUUGUAUUUGUUUCUCUGGAAUUAGUUGUUUAGAGUGAAUUCCCACAGUAGAGCUACAGCAUGUAAUUAAUUUAAUUAAGUAAUAAUGUAAUUUCAAGGAUGUGAGGCUUUUAUGGUGCUUGUUCAUAGGAGAUGCUUGACUAGGAAAGGGAGCAUUUCUCUCUCUUGUUUCUCAACGAAGGCAAAUUUUUUUAUUCAAGUAUAGUUGAUUUACAAUGUUGGGCCAAUUUCUGCUGUAGAGCAAAGCGACCCAGUCAUGUGUAUUCCCUUUCUCAUAUUAUUUUUCAUCAUGGUCUAUCCCAAGAGAUUGGCUGUAGUUCCCUGGGCUGUACAGCAGGACCUCAUUGCUUAUGCAUUCUAAAUGGAAUAGUUUGCAUCUGCUAACCCCAAACUCCCCAUCCAUCCCACUCCCUCCUCCCUCCCCCUUGGCAACCACUAGUCUGUUCUCUGAGGCUGCCAGUCUGUUUCUGUUUUGUAGGCAACAAACACAUUUGAAGCCCGCAUGUGCUAAGUACCUUGUCCUAGGGCAAGUGAGAGACAGAAGAUAAAUCUUUGAGGCGCUGUCCUUGGCAGAGCCUUCCCCGGGGCACUUAUAGAUUGCCAAAAAAGACAGACUGGAAUAAGGAUUUCGCAGCGAUGUCAGGUCAGACAGGUGGGGAGAAAGCUUCGUGGGGGAGACCAUCAGGUUCCAGCUGGGCUUUGAAGGAUGAGUAGGAUUUACGAGGCAGGCAUGAGGAAACCAUGAGUUGGGGCCCCAGAGAUGUGACACUGCUUGACAUGCUGUUGGGUGAGAACAAACGGGCCUGAAGUGUAAGGUGGGGAAGGCAGACAGAUGAAUUACCUGGUGUAUGGCAAAGGCUUGGCUUGCUUGCUCACAUGUUUGGGUGCUAACCUGCAAACAUUCGGGGAAGGUAUUGAUGGAAGGUCAUGUUUCACUGCUUUUCAGCCAGGUAACCUCAGGUAAGUUCCAUUACCUCUCUGACCCUGGCUUUUCUCAUCUGUUACACUGGAACAAAACAGCUACUUUGCUAGAUUAUUACAAGGAAUAAAGACACGGGAGUUCCUGUUGCAGCUCAGUGGAUUAAGAAGCCAACAUAGUGUCUAUGAGGGUGUGCGUUUGGCAGCUCGGAUCUGGUAGUGCUGUGGCUGUGGGGUAGGCCAGCGGCUGCAGCUCUGAUUUGAUCUCCAGCCGGGGAACUUCCAUAUGCCACAGAUGUGGACAUAAAAAAAAAAGAAAAAAA